GUGCUGGCUUUGGCAGCACAUAUACUAAAAUUGGAAUGAUAAAGAGAAGAUUAGCAUGGCUGCUGUGCAAGGAUGACAUUCAAAUUCAUGAAGCCUUCAAUAAUUGC
rnacentral:snRNA from 1 species